rnacentral:rRNA from 1 species
GUUUGAUCCUGGCUCAGAACGAACGCUGGCGGCGUGCCUAACACAUGCAAGUCGAGCGCGAAUAGGGGCAACCCUUAGUAGAGCGGCGCACGGGUGCGUAACACGUGGAUAAUCUACCUGGAUGCCCGGGAUAACCAGUCGAAAGAUUGGCUAAUACCGGAUAAGCCCACGGCCUCUUCGGAGACUGAGGGAAAAGGUGGCCUCUGUAUACAAGCUAUCACAACCAGAUGAGUCCGCGGCCCAUCAGCUAGUUGGCGGGGUAAUGGCCCACCAAGGCAACGACA